UGCUAUUUGGGUUUCUAGUCUUUGUCAUAAAAAUCCUAAUUGGAAAUCUUAGGUAUGUAGCGAGUUGCGUAUCAUCACUGCGGUUGGGUUUUCGUGAACCAUAAUUAAUAAGUUAAUAAUGCAUAAAAGUAAAUGAAGCAAGAGAUUACUGUGAUCGAGUAGGCCAUUAGCGGCGUAUAUAUGGAAGAGGAACGCGGCUCCGGCACUCAGUCACUGAUCGAGCUGCACAAUGCUGAAACACGCGAGCUUGUUGCUGCUGCUGCUGGCGGCGCUGCUGAGCAGCUCGGCGCUCGCUAAGCCCUACCUCGGCCUCGGCCUCGGCCUGGGGGGCCGGCUCGGCGGGCUCGGCGGCUACGCUGGACUGGGUGGCUACGGCGGGCUCGGCGGCUACGGUGGGCUCGGCGGCUACGGUGGCUACGGCGGUUAUGGAGGCUACUAUUAGUAAUUGAUUAUAAUAGAACGAUGUAAUUUAGGUUUUGGCAAUUUAGCACAUACCGGGGGUUCCGUACAAUGUGGUUCUCAUAAAAAUCUAUAUCGUUCUGAACCUUUGAAUAACAGUCGUUAGUUUUGAGUACCUACGUGUAAAAGGGUUUGAGUAGACUUGUUCCGUGACGAUGAAGAGUUUGGUAGCCUAAUUAAAAAUAUUGUCAAAAUCAAUAAUUACAAUUUCGAAAUAAUAAUAA